rnacentral:rRNA from 1 species
GAUGAACGCUGGCGGCGUGCUUAACACAUGCAAGUCGAACGGUGAAGGCGGAGCUUGCUCUGCUGGAUCAGUGGCGAACGGGUGGGUAACACGUGAGCAAUCUGCCCCUGACUCUGGGAUAAGCGCUGGAAACGGCGUCUAAUACUGGAUACGAGCUGCGAAGGCAUCUUCAGCAGCUGGAAAGAAUUUCGGUCAGGGAUGAGCUCGCGGCCUAUCAGCUUGUUGGUGAGGUAAUGGCUCACCAAGGCGUCGACGGGUAGCCGGCCUGAGAGGGUGACCGGCCACACUGGGACUGAGACACGGCCCAGACUCCUACGGGAGGCAGCAGUGGGGAAUAUUGCACAAUGGGCGGAAGCCUGAUGCAGCAACGCCGCGUGAGGGACGACGGCCUUCGGGUUGUAAACCUCUUUUAGCAGGGAAGAAGCGAAAGUGACGGUACCUGCAGAAAAAGCGCCGGCUAACUACGUG